AGUAACGGAUUACAGCAGAAUUACUAUCCUCUCAAUUCUUGAAUGAGGAAAUUUGAGGUCUAGAGAAAAGGAAUUUGUCCAAGGUCACACACCAAGUCUACAACCAAGCGACACUUAAAAUUUAGCUUUGUUCAAGUUAUCUCAAUACAUUUAAAAAAAUCUAAGGAAGAUCUUGGGCUUUCCAGGCAAAAAUUUUAGGCCAUAGUGACAAGACCUAAAGCUUAGUAGUGCUGUCCUUGAUUGUCCCACCUACAAUUCAGAUGUGCUACCCAAUAGUUUUUUCCUGUUAAUGUACACAAGUUUGGGGUAAAAACUUUAAGACACGUUUAACAUUACUGUAAAUAGAUGAAUUUCUAAAAGCACAAAAAGAAUAAAGAAUUCUCUUUGAAGGAUGCCUCCGCAACCUCAGGAAAGGGGGAGGAGGGAAUGGGGCAGUAGUAGAGUAUAUGCUAGGACAGGCCCUGGGCUUAAUUCUCAGCAUCAAAUUUGACUUUCUUUUUAUGCUGGGUAAAAAAGAAAAAGAAACAAGAAAAAAAGAGGGAGAGUUGGGCAAUGGCUUCAAGGUUUAUGAAACCAGCUCCCUGGAGGCCACUUCUUACAAA